CCCUUAGAUGUCCUGGGCCGCACGCGCGCUACACUGACAUGUUCAACAAGUUUCUCCUAGUUCGACAGGACUGGGAAAUCUUUGAACGCAUGUCGUGAUAGGGAUAGAUCAUUGCAAUUAUUGAUCUUGAACGAGGAAUUCCUAGUAAACGCGAGUCAUCAGCUCGCAUUGAUUACGUCCCUGCCCUUUGUACACACCGCCCGUCGCACCUACCGAUUGAAUGUUUCGGUGAAGAUUCCGGAUAGGACUGAUUUGAUUUAUUUCAUUUCUGACCUAAAAGCUAUCUAAACCUCAGCAUUUAGAGGAAGGUGAAGUCGUAACA
rnacentral:rRNA from 1 species